rnacentral:misc_RNA from 1 species
GCAUUUCACUGUAAAAAAAAUUAAAGGAAAUCGUAUGUUUGAAACAUUCUCCCCCGAGACUCCUUAAGAAAGCAACAAAUAUUUUUCUGUUAAAUACAAGAAGUUGAUCAACCUUAAGAAAGUGUGUGAGUAGCUUAUAUGAGUGGCUUACGAAAUUAUUUAUCAUAAAAAUGAAGAGAUUGCAUGUGAUUAGUUAGGAGUGUUAGAGGGAGAUACCUACUACAUUUAAUUAAAGUAAAGGUGAUGUAAUGUGUGACGGGAAAUUUUGAUAAAGUAGUGCUAAAGUCAUGUAGGCAAAUGUACUAAUUUGUACUACUUUAAUACUACUUUAAUACUAAUAAUUGAUAGUGAUUUGAUGAAUGUUAUGAUAAUUUAUACUAUUAUGUACAUAUGUAUAACAGUAGAGCAAUUCAUUCUGAGAGACAAGAACGGGAAGUUCAAAUUGACUUUCAGCUCUUUAUAAAUGUCACAAUAUAGUUAAUCAUAAGAUAUAAUUUUAAUCACAGGUUUUUAAUGAAGCUUUGCCAUAUUUAUGUAAAAUCUCAUUACAUUCCCAAUUAAUGAACAGCUGCUAGAAUUUUUUAUUUAUUUUUGCUUGAUGCCUGCAUGUGUUACUUGAGCAUGUAUUAUAACUUAAGGUACUUCACUACACCUAUACUUAUACUAUUUAAGACACUACACUACAAGAUGGCGAUUUAAAUGUUUUGCUAAAUUGUUCAUAUCAAUCGAUCUGGUUGUGUAUUGUCAUAGCUGAGUGGUUAAAGCAUCAGGCUUGUGAACUGCAGAUCAUGAGUUUGAAUCCAGUUUGGACUUUUCUUCAUAUUUACUGAAUUAAAUUUGUGAAAAUGUAAUAUUUUAUCCAAAAUUGCACAUUAUUCGCCUAUUUGUAUUACAAAUGUAUUCUUAUCCAUCAUGCUGUCUAUCAUAAAGUAACUGUCUGCUAAUUUAAGAAACUUUUUCAAGGUGUAGUGAGCAACCUUAAGUUUCUGUUAUUGUGUGAUAAAAGUCAUUGCAUGUUUGUCAUUUAUUUUCAGAUUUUCUUUUUAAAGAUAGAUUUGAUAUAUAUAUUUCUUUUUACAUUCUUGUGUAUAAAUAAGGUUUGUUGUUGUACACAUUGUAUAUGAAGGAUGUAUUGAUAUCAUGCAAGUGACUAUGAUAAUUAAAUGUUUUAUUGUUUACCUAGGAGUAUGCAAAUGUUGAAACUGUAAAAAAAAAAAAUGCCAACCUGGCGGUUAUAAUCUCAAUAGAUAAGAAUCUUCAUGUUAUUUUUCAAGUUGACAAUCUCACAGAUUUGUUUUUGUUCCUUGUAUAAUAAGUAUUGCUUUUGUGUGUGUUAAAUAGGAGUCUUCCAUUGAAAUUGUAAAGAAAUACCUUGAAAUCAAUGUUUUAUGUGGGGGUUUUUCCAGUCAUAAAAUAUAUUACUCUGUC